rnacentral:rRNA from 1 species
AUACGGAGGGUGCAAGCGUUACUCGGAAUCACGGGGCGUAAAGCGCGCGCAGGCGGCUAUUUAAGUUGGAUGUGAAAGCCUACGGCUCAACCGUAGAACUGCAUCCAAAACUAUUUAGCUAGAGUGUGGGAGAGGAAGAUGGAAUUAGUUGUGUAGGGGUAAAAUCCGUAGAGAUAACUAGGAAUACCAAAAGCGAAGGCAAUCUUCUGGAACACUACUGACGCUGAGGCGCGAAAGCGUGGGGAGCAAACGGGAUUAGAAACCCUAGUAGUCC